UACGUAGGGAGCAAGCGUUGUCCGGAAUCAUUGGGCGUAAAGCGUGCGUAGGUGGCUUCAUAAGUCCGUUGUGAAAGUCAAAGGCUCAACCUUUGAAAGCCGAUGGAUACUGUGGAGCUAGAGUACGGAAGAGGCGAGUGGAAUUCCUGGUGUAGCGGUGGAAUGCGCAGAUAUCAGGAGGAACACCAAUAGCGAAGGCAGCUCGCUGGGACGUUACUGACACUGAGGCGCGAAAGCGUGGGGAGCGAACAGG
rnacentral:rRNA from 1 species